rnacentral:tRNA from 1 species
GGAGGAGGCAGAGCGGACUCGAAAACCGGAGUGGGGGUAACUCCACCGUGGGUUCAAAUCCCACCCCCUCCGCCA